CAUGGUCAGUCUGUGUGAUAUUCUCCAUGGUCAGUCUGUGUGAUAUUCUCCAUGGUCAGUCUGUGUGAUAUUCUCCAUGGUCAGUCUGUGUGAUAUUCUCCAUGGUCAGUCUGUGUGAUAUUCUCCAUGGUCAGUCUGUGUGAUAUUCUCCGUGGUCAGUCUCUCUCUGUGUGAUAUUCUCCAUGGUCAGUCUGUGUGAUAUUCUCCAUGGUCAGUCUGUGUGAUAUUCUCCAUGGUCAGUCUGUGUGAUAUUCUCCAUGGUCAGUCUGUGUGAUAUUCUCCAUGGUCAGUCAGUGUGAUAUUCUCCAUGGUCAGUCUGUGUGAUAUUCUCCAUGGUCAGUCU